rnacentral:rRNA from 1 species
CAGUGACUCUUUAAACGGCCGCGGUAUCCUAACCGUGCAAAGGUAGCAUAAUCACUUGUCCCCUAAAUAGGGACUGGUAUGAAUGGCUAAAUGAGGAUAAAACUGUCUCUUACGGACUAGCCGAUGAAAUUGAUCCUCCAGUACAAAAGCUGGAAUAAACCCAUAAGACGAGAAGACCCUGUGGAGCUUUAAAACCAAAGCCACCAAGCAUGCCUCUUGGGUUUUUAGUUGGGGCGACUUUGGAGCAAAAAAAAACCUCCAAAACAUGAACUUAAUUAUUAAGACUAACAUACCAAAAAAAUUUUACUAGACCCAGCAGUAUCAUAUGCUGUCUGACCAAUGAACCAAGUUACCCCAGGGAUAACAGCGCCAUCCUCUUCUAGAGUCCCUAUCGACAAGAGGGUUUACGACCUCGAUGUUGGAUCAGGACACCCCUAUAGUGCAACCGCUAUAAAAGGUUCGUUUGUUCAACGAUUAAAGUCCUACGUGAUCUGAGUUCAGACCGGA